UGGACGUGCCGUCACAAGAUGC
rnacentral:miRNA from 1 species